GAAAAAGAACCUGAAACCGUGUACGUACAAGCAGUGGGAGCACCCUUUGGGGUGUGACUGCGUACCUUUUGUAUAAUGGGUCAGCGACUUAUAUUCUGUAGCAAGGUUAACCGUAUAGGGGAGCCGGAGGGAAACCGAGUCUUAAUUGGGCGUUAAGUUGCAGGGUAUAGACCCGAAACCCGGUGAUCUAGCCAUGGGCAGGUUGAAGGUUGGGUAACACUAACUGGAGGACCGAACCGACUAAUGUUGAAAAAUUAGCGGAUGACCUGUGGCUGGGGGUGAAAGGCCAAUCAAACCGGGAGAUAGCUGGUUCUCCCCGAAAGCUAUUUAGGUAGCGCCUCGUGAAUUCAUCUCCGGGGGUAGAGCACUGUUUCGGCUAGGGGGCCAUCCCGGCUUACCAACCCGAUGCAAACUGCGAAUACCGGAGAAUGUUAUCACGGGAGACACACGGCGGGUGCUAACGUCCGUCGUGAAGAGGGAAACAACCCAGACCGCCAGCUAAGGUCCCAAAGUCAUGGUUAAGUGGGAAACGAUGUGGGAAGGCCCAGACAGCCAGGAUGUUGGCUUAGAAGCAGCCAUCAUUUAAAGAAAGCGUAAUAGCUCACUGGUCGAGUCGGCCUGCGCGGAAGAUGUAACGGGGCUAAACCAUGCACCGAAGCU
rnacentral:rRNA from 1 species